rnacentral:rRNA from 1 species
GACGAACGCUGGCGGCGUGCUUAACACAUGCAAGUCGAACGGAAAGGCCCUGCUUGCCGGGUGCUCGAGUGGCGAACGGGUGAGUAACACGUGGGUGAUCUGCCCCUUACUUUGGGAUAAGCCUGGGAAACUGGGUCUAAUACUGGAUAGGACCAUGCUGUAGGUGGUGUGGUGGAAAGAUUAGUUUCGGUAAGGGAUGAGCUCGCGGCCUAUCAGCUUGUUGGUGGGGUAAUGGCCUACCAAGGCGUCGACGGGUAGCCGGCCUGAGAGGGUGGACGGCCACAUUGGGACUGAGAUACGGCCCAGACUCCUACGGGAUGCAGCAGUGGGGAAUAUUGCACAAUGGGCGCAAGCCUGAUGCAGCGACGCCGCGUGGGGGAUGACGGCCUUCGGGUUGUAAACUCCUUUCAGCCAUGACGAAGCCCUUGUGGUGACGGUAGUGGGAGAAGAAGCACCGGCUAACUACGUG